AUAUCGAAAUGCCAACGUUCAUAAAGUUAAGGAAACACCUUGGAAAUCGAUUUAUCCAAAAAUACCACGCUUCUUUCCGAAUUCAACGUGGAGAGGGAUCGACAUCGCAUGCAUCAGCCGCGAAGUCGGCAUUCUCAAUCGCAUUCAAACUAACGAACAAACGAUCGCCGGCAAACUUAAAUUCGGUGAGGUUAGUUGGAUUUGUCGUGGUGUUUUUUACAAAUCAAUAAUCAAUUGUAAUACGUUUUUUAAUAAGUGAAACAAACAGUUAA